ACCGAGAUCUUACAGGCUCUUGACACUCUUCGGAGGAGAUGGAGAAUCGAUGAUACUGUCGUGCCAAGAAAAGCCACUAAGUAUAUUAUAUGUUGCCCGUACCGUAAACCGACACAGGUGGGUGGGAUGAGUAUUCUAAGGCGCGUGGAAGAACCCUCUUUAAGGAACUCUGCAAACUAGCACCGUAUCUUCGGUAUAAGGCGUGCCUACUUUGGUAUAUGAACUUGCUUCAAAAAGCUAGAGAGGUUGCAACAAAGAGUCCCUCCCGACUGUUUACCAAAAACACAGCACUUUGCUAACACGUAAGUGGAUGUAUAAGGUGUGACGCCUGCCCGGUGCUCGAAGGUUAAUUGAUGAUGUCAGCUCACGCGAAGCAUUUGAUCGAAGCCCGAGUAAACGGCGGCCGUAACUAUAACGGUCCUAAGGUAGCGAAAUUCCUUGUCAGUUAAAUACUGACCUGCAUGAAUGGCGUAACGAGAUGGGAGCUGUCUCAAAGAGGGAUCCAGUGAAAUUGUAGUGGAGGUGAAAAUUCCUCCUACCCGCGGAAAGACGGAAAGACCCCGUGCACCUUUACUACAGCUUGACACUGUAGCUUGGAUAUUCAUGUGCAGGAUAGGUGGGAGGCUAUGAUGACUAGACGCCAGUAGAGUCGGAGCCAUCCUUGAGAUACCACCCUUGAAUAUUUGAGUUACUAACUGCGAAGAGUUAUCCUCUUUCAGGACAAUGUCUGGUGGGUAGUUUGACUGGGGCGGUCGCCUCCUAAAUAGUAACGGAGGCUUACAAAGGUUAGUUCAGAUGGGUUGGAAAUCCAUCGCUGAGUAUAAUGGCAUAAACUAGCUUGACUGUGAGACCAACAAGUCGAACAGAGACGAAAGUCGGUCAUAGUGAUCCGGUGGUUCUGCGUGGAAGGGCCAUCGCUCAAAGGAUAAAAGGUACGCCGGGAAUAACAGGCUGAUCUCCCCCAAGAGCUCACAUCGACGGGGAGGUUUGGCACCUCGAUGUCGGCUCAUCGCAUCCUGGGGCUGUAGUCGGUCCCAAGGGUAUGGCUGUUCGCCAUUUAAAGCGGUACGCGAGCUGGGUUCAGAACGUCGUGAGACAGUUCGGUCCCUAUCUUCCGUGGGCGUAGGAAAGUUGAAGAGAUUUGUCCCUAGUACGAGAGGACCGGGAUGAACCAACCACUGGUGUACCAAUUGUUCUGCCAAGAGCAUCGUUGGGUAGCCACGUUGGGAUGUGAUAAGAGCUGAAAGCAUCUAAGCUCGAAGCCAACUCUAAGAUGAACUUUCCCUGAAGUUCCCAGCAAGACUAGCUGGUUGAUAGGCUGGGUGUGUAAUGGGUGUAAGCCCUUUAGCUGACCAGUACUAAUAGAACGUUUGGCU
rnacentral:rRNA from 1 species